ACAGCACUGUGGGGAAAAAAACAACUGAAGCCAGAAAUGAGAAACGUAUUUGCAUUAGAAAGCAUCAAGAAAUUCAAUGUGAAAGUCAAAGUGGAAGUGUUUGUACAUUAUGGCACUUUAUUGUGUCAUCUUAUUUUAGAUUCAACGUUCAAUUCACUGCCUUUUUUCGUGUCAUAACGUACCACAUUACACAGAUUCAUCAGACUAAUUUAUUGCAGUCACGGGUGACUGUUUACAGGUCAGUGUGAUUGCAUAUAAAUUACAGGAUUGAUUAUAGAUUGAGAAUAUAAAAACCCUAUUAAUUCGAAACAAGAAUAAUCUGAUAUGUGAUUUCUAUUCUCUUGUGUAGACCUGAACAUUAUCCUUCAUCACCACAUCAGCUCCUGAACUCAUCUGAUCACAAACAGAUCUGUCUCAGUGCUGCAUCAUUCAAUUCAAUUGCAAUAUCAUUAUUAUAUUAGACAACAGUCAGAGGUUUUAUUCAUUAUAAGGUCUUAUAGUGGUGUUGGUUUGAGUAUCAUGAAUAAUGACUAUAUAAUGAAUAUAAUGCAGGUGUUAUACUUUAGUCAAGAUCAUGAUCUUCCUCUGAAGUUGCAUUUGUGGUGAGAGCGUUUUCCAUUUUUGUAUUCUUAGAAUUGAAGCCCUUUGCUCACAGGAUAUAAGAAUCUUUCAUUUCUCAGAAUUGAAUCCCUUUCUGCUGUUUAAUAUGCAUCUUCUCAUUAUUUAAAAUCCCCCUGAAGCUCAGACGGCACAACAUCAGCAGAGAUCUCAGAGUUGUGAUAGACAUUUUCUUCUCUUCAGCUCAACAGAAGAUGGGAUGUAGAAAUGAAAUAACACAGAGAGAAAACCGUUGGAGCAUAAGAAACCAGAUAGGAAGAACUACAAACAUGGAGGCCAGAAAUGAGACACAAACCAGAGAAACACAAGAGAAAAACAGACAGACACCUGUCAGAUGUGACAGUAUGAAGAUAAUAAAACCAGAAUUCUCAUGUGAUCCAGACGGACCUGUAAACUUUCCUUCUGAUGAAACUUCAUCAUGUUCUGAAGAACACACAACGUCCCUGAGACAGCAGCAGCGGCUGAAGACAACACCAUCAUGAUCCCAGACUCCAUCCAUCCACACUACAGUCUGAUCACAUCCUCAGAGACGGAGGAUUACUCUAUAAUAAUCCUGAGUACUGAUCUCUAUGAGAUAAUUAUUCAUUCAUUAAUAAACACCCUGAUG